GGGGAUGCAGCUCAGUGGUAGUGCACUUGCUUUGCAUGCAGAAGAUCCUGGGUUCAAUCCCUGCCAUCUCAA